rnacentral:lncRNA from 1 species
UCCUGAAAGUAGCCUCAUUUGUGUAAAAAAUGCUGAAUCCUAAAGGCUAGGAACAUUUUUCAAAUGACUCUUCUUGGUUUCUCAUCCUUCAUUGGCAGGAUUGAGGCUGAGUAAUGAUCCUUUUUAUGAGGGAAGAUUAUACAAAAGGCUGUUUAGAAAGCUUUCUCCAAAUUGCUAUAAAAACCAACCAUCAUAGCAAAACGGCAGUGUCUGUGUUUCUUCAUUUUUGGGUUCUUCCACACACUGAAAUAACCUUUGCAUAUUAACAGGAGCUGACCUCAACCUCUGGACCUUGUGAUCCUUUAUGUUGAGUUGAUGAAGCUAGCUCGUUAGAUUUCGAAGUUACUUAACAGCCAAAGACUAAUUUGUUGAAAACUAUUGGUGUUUUCACAGCAGCUUUAACAGGGACUGUGGCAAUUAACCUAUCAUGGGUUACCAACAUCCAGGUUUAUCUUUAAUUUCUUGUGCAAUCCUUUCUUUGUAGGUUGUAAUCAUUUUUUCAUCUUUGGCCAAUAUUUUGUAUAUUCUUGUAUUAUCCACAGAAGCCUUUCUUAAUUUGAUCUAAUUUCAUAAUGCAUAUUUCUAUGGCAUUGCUUUUUGUAAUAGGAUAUGCAGGCAUUAUCUUUGAAGAAUUUCUAGCCUUCAAUAAAAGUGGAAUAGAUUGUUGAUGGCUGUGAGUUUAUGGGUGGUAAGGAGCAUAGGGGUAAGAAUGAUUCUCAGGUGUUUAGGAUUGGACUGUGUUUUUCUGCUGUCCCUCUUCUUUUAAGCAUUAUCUUUGACAUGCAUUGUGGUUGAAUGCUUAAAAGGAAGAUUAUUUCUUUUUGCUGGAUUCUUUGAAAUUCUAAAUAUAUGUUGUCAUAGGCUCUCAGUUAGUGUCUUUCUCAUUGAGAUUGUGUCUUGAUUCUUCUUGUUUCAUUUUUAAACUUUUACAUAAAUUAGGGCUUUGUAACUUUACUUUGAAAAAUUCCCUUGGGUUGUGAUGUGAUGGUCUGUUUGAAACUUGAUGCGUUGUGUCGUCCAAGAAUGAAUUGCAGGGGAAUUAUGGAUUCUAAAUUUGUAUGGCUGUGUGUAGGAUUUAAGGAUUAAAAAUGUGUGGCUCUGUGUGUAUGGGAGUUUUCUUGUUUUUCUCUCUGUGGCAUGACAGAGAGAAAAACUUUUUAUUGUGGUUUCACUGGCUUGGCUUUUUUAGUUAUUGAUGAUGUCAAACUUUUUAUUGUGGUUGCAUCUAAUUUGAUUAAGUUGUUUGAGAAUGCAUUAGGAGAAUGUUACUGCAAAAGAAAUUCCUGGGUUGUGGUUUCUUCAUUCAUGAGUGUGCCUAGUUGUCAUUUGUUUGUCUCUUUGAAGCUUAAUUGGCUAUGUGCUCUAAGCAUACCUUGCAGGAUAGAAGGAAUUAAAGUUUCAAAAUUUCUAUGUCUGUGUGUUUGUUGGUUUUAUUCUGUGUGUUUGUUGGUUUUAUUUUGCAAGUUGGCUUUUAGAUUUCAUUCCCAUAGCUUCUGGUUAAUGUCUAAUUUUUUGUUGUAGUGCUUUUGAUUUGCUGGAGUUUGAUUUGAACUUCAAUUAAUAUUUGAUCUCUUAUGCUUUAACAUUCCAUUUAAAUUUUAGUUUUAUCUUUUGUGUACAGAUUGUAGUUUUGUAAACUUUUCUUAAUUGUGGUUGCAUUUAGUAGUCUAUACGGAAAUUAGUUGAUCGUGUACUUCGAACACGAUUUGCUAGAGAGAGGAAUUAGAGAUUGUACAGCAGUGUACUCCAAAUUUGUAUGGUUGAGUUUUUUAUUUUUUAUUUUUUUAUUUUGCUAGUUCAACUCUGUUGCAUGACAAAUUGUAAUCUUAGGUUUAAUUUCAAAAACUUAAUCCAGCCUCGCAUUGAGGAUGAGUGCUUACAAUGAAGAGUACCUCUUUUUUCUUGUGUUGUGUUUGAUUUUUCUUGUUUUGCUGAUUUCACUUUACUUUGUUGCAUGAUUGAUUACUUUCUUAAGAUUAAUUUCAUAAACUUAAAUCUAGUUAAGCAUUGAGAUGGAAGAUUGCCUCUUUCUUAUUGGAUUCUUUGAAAGUCUAUGAUCUUGCAUAGAAUUUUUGUUGUAUUGUAUGGUAACUUUCGAUGAUAAUUGUACUUGUUUUAGUACAUUUCAGAUCAUGAAGAGUUUGAUUAAAGUUGCUAAAAUUCUGUGUUUCUGAUUAUAAUAUAGACUUUGUUUUCUUAAGUAACACUGUUAUUAUUGGAAGCAUCCUGACUUAUGAUGUGGUUGGUGGCUGUUGUUUUUUAACUUUGGUAUAUAAUUGUUGUAUAUUUAUGUUGAGAUGCAAAACUACCUCUUAUCUUUGGCCUUUCAUUAUAAUCUUUUUUUGUUAAGGUUUUGUUGCUUUAGUUUUAAUUUCUCUUUAGGUUUUUAAAGGCCUUUUACUUUCGUAUCUUUGGGUUUUCGAGUUAAAACAUUUAUAAUAUCUGAUUUGUGAGCAAUGGAUGUUAUUAGGUUUAUUUUGCAGGCAAUCUUUGCCUUGAAUCUUUCUGCUUGAGCAAUGAAGUUCAAGUUUGAUUGUCUUUAUUUCUAAAAUAGCAUUGUUCUUUAUACAUGUGGCAUGUUGCUUGUGUUUAACUUAAAUGCAGCAUUGUUCUUUAUAUAUGUGGCAUGUUGUUUAUGUUUAACUUAAAUGCAUAUCACCUUAUUAUUAAGCAUUGUUGAAUGAGACUUUGACUUCAUUAAAAAUGGAAGGUGUUAUGUGUAUGUAUACUAAUUAGAUAUCUAAUUAAGAUUCUCUUGUAUUUUAUCUUGAAAUUUAUUUUUAUUUAUCGUGUAAUUUAUGUAAUUAACAAAAUUAUAUUAUAUAAUAUUUAUUUUUUAUUUAAUACAAUUUCGAUUAUUUUUUUUAUUGCUUAUUAUUUUAUUUAUUAUUUUGGAUUGUAUAAUAUUUAUCUUUUAUUAAGAGAUAAUAAUUAUUUUAUUUAAUAUAUAUUUUUUUUAUUUUUGAUUUUCUUAUUUUUUAUAUUUUUAUUGUAUUUUUGUUAAUCUUUUUUGUUUUUCAUUAACUUUUUUCUUUUAAAAUUUUUUUUUACUUAUUUUUUUAUGUGUUUUCAUUUUUUUUUGUUUUCACUUUUUUCUUUGUUUUAAAAUUUUUUACAAAACUUUUCUUUUUAUUUUAUUUCAUAUUUUCGCCUCUUCAUUUUUUAUUUUUUCUUGUUUUUCUAAUUUUUUUGACAGUUUUUUUUAUUUCUUGUUUCCAUUUUUUUUUACACUUCCUUGAAUUUUUUAUUUUUCAUAAAUCUUUUCUUUUUAUUUUUAUUCUUUUCUUAAUUUUUUUACAAAUUUUUUUUUUAUUUCUUAUUUUCAUUUUUAAAUUCUUAUAAUUUUUUUUGUUGCAUUUUCUUCUUUUGUUUUCAUUUUUAUUUGGCAUUAACUUUUCUCUUAUUUAUUUUUUUGUCUUUGAUUUUUUAUAUUAUUUUUAUAUUAUUUUUUUAUAUGUUUUUUAAUUUUUUUAAUUUUUUUAAUUUUUCCAUUUCAUUUCAUUUUUGUAUUUUUGUAUUUUUGAUUUUCUUAUAUUUUUAUCGCAUUUUUCUUUAUUUUAUAUUUUAUAUUUUAUAUAUUUUUUUUAUUUAUCUUUUUUGUUUUGCUUUAAUAUUUUUUUUCUUAUUUUAUUUUUAUUUUUAUUUGUUAUUUCUUUCUUUAUUUAUAUUUUCAUAAAUUUUUAUCAUGUUUUUUAUUUUUUUUAUCUUUCUAUUUUUUUUUAUUUAUCAUUAUUGGUUAUUUUUCGUUUUAUUUUUAUAAUUUUUCAUUAACUCUUUUUCCUUUUUCCUUUUAAAUUUUUCAUUUUUUUACUUAUCUUUUCAUGUGUUUUAUAUAUUUUUUUGUUUUCACAUUUUUCUUUGUUUUAAAAAUUUCUACAAAACUGUUUUAUCUUUUUAUUUUAUUUCAUAUUUUUGCCUUUUCAUUUUUUAUUUUUUCUUGUUUUUCUAAUUUUUUUCACAAAAUUCUUUUUAUUUCUUGUUUUCAUUUUUUUUAUACUUCUUUGGAUUUUUUUUCUCAUAAAUCUUGUCUUUUCAUUUUUAUUCUUUUCUUUUUUAUCUAACAAAUUUCUUUUUAUUUCUUAUAUUCAUUUUUAAAUUCUUAUAGUUUUUUUAUUUCAUUUUCUUCUUUUGUUUUAAUUUUUAUUUUGCAUUAACUUUUCUCAUUUUUAAUUUUUUGUCUUUGAUUUUUUAUAUUGUUUUCUUAUUAUUUCUUAUGUUUUUCAUUUUUUUUGUAUUUUUUUCUAUUUUCUCAUUUCAUUUCAUUUUAUUUUUUAUUUUUGAUUUUCUUACUUCUUAUAUUUUUUAUUGCAUUUUUGUUUAUUUUAUAUUUUAUAUUUUAUUGUAUUUUAUCUAUCUUUUUUGCUUUGCUUUAAUAUUUUUUUUCUUAUUUUAUUUUUAUUUUUUAUUUUGGUUUAUUUUUAUUUUCUUUCUUUAUUUAUAUUUUCAUAAAUUUUUAACAUGUUUUUUAUUUAUUUAUUUUUCUAUCUUUUUUUUUUUUUUUUUAUCGUUGGUUAUUUUCAAUUUUAUUUUUAUAAUUUUUCAUUAACUCUUUUUCUUUUUUUCUUUUAAAUUUUUUAUUUUUUUACUUAUCUUUUAAUGUGCUUUCAUAUAUUUUUUUUGUUUUCACAUUUUUCUUUGUUUUAAAAAUUUCUACAAAACUUUUUUAUCUUUUUAUUUUGUUUCAUAUUUUUGUCUAUUCAUUUUUUAUUUUUUCUUGUUUCAUAUAUUUUUGCUUUUUUAUUUUUUAUUUUUUCUUGGUUUUUUAAUAAUUUUCACAAAAUUCUUUUUAUUUCUUGUUUCUAUUUUUUUUUAUACUUCCUAGGAUUUUUUUUUUCAUAAAUCUUGUCUUUUCAUUUUUAUUCUUUUCUUAAUUCUUUUACAAAUUUCUUUUUAUUUCAUAUUUUCAUUUUUAAAUAAAUAAUAGUUUUUUUUUGUUGCAUUUUCUUCUUUUGUUUUCAUUUUUAGUUUUUUGGCUUAGAUUUUUUAUAUUGUUUUCUUAUUAUUUUUUAUAUGUUUUUCCAUUUUUUUUAUUUUUUUUCUAUUUUUUCAUUUCAUUUCAUUUGUCUUUUUUAAUUUUUAAUUUUUGAUUUUCUUACUUAUAUUUUUUAUCGCAUUUUUGUUUGUUUUAUAUUUUAUAUUUUUUGUAUUUUAUUUAUAUUUUUUGUUUUGCUUUAAUAUUUCUUUCUUAUUUUAUUUUUAAUUUUAAUCUCUUUCUUUAUUUAUAUUUUCAUAAAUUUUUAUCAUGUUUUUAAUUUUUUUAUUUUUCUAUCUUUUUUUUUUAUUUAUCGUUGUUGGUUAUUUUUUGUUUUAUUUUUGUAAUUUUUCAUUAACUCUUUUUCCUUUUUCUUUUAAAUUUUUCACUUUUUUACUUAUCUUUUCAUGUGCUUUCAUAUUUUUUUUUUUGUUUUCACAUUUUUCUUUGUUUUAAAAAUUUCUAUAAAACUAUUUUAUCUUUUUAUUUUGUUUCAUAUUUUUGCCUUUUCAUUUUUUCUUUUUUCUUGUGUUUCUAAUUUUUUUCACAAAAUUCUUUUUAUUUCUUGUUUCCAUUAUUUUUAUACUUCUUAGGAUUUUUUUUUCAUAAAUUUUGUCUUUUCAUUUUUAUUCUUUUCUUAAUUCUUUUACAAAUUUCUUUUUAUUUCUUGUUUUCAUUUUUAAAUUCUUAUAGUUUUUUUUUGUUGCAUUUUCUUCUUUUGUUUUCAUUUUUAAUUUUUUGGCUUUGAUUUUUUAUAUUGUUUUCUUAUUAUUUUUUAUAUGUUUUUCAAUUUUUUGUAUUUUUUUAUAUUUUCUCAUUUCAUUUCAUUCUUUCUUUUUUUAUUUUUUAUUUUUGAUUUUCUUACUUCUUAUAUUUUUUAUCGUAUUUUUGUUUAUUUUAUAUUUUAUAUUUUUUUGUAUUUUAUUUAUCUUUUUUGUUUUACUUUAAUAUUUUUUUCUUAUUUUAUUUUUGUUUUUUUUCUUUUUUUAUUUAUAUUUUAAUAAAUUUUUAUCAUGUUUUUUUUAAUUUUUCUAUCUUUUUUUUUUAUUUAUCGUUGUUGGUUAUUUUUUCUUUUAUUUUUAUAAUUUUUCAUUAACUCUUUCUUCUUUUUCCUUUUAAAUUUUUCAUUUUUUUACUUAUCUUUUCAUGUGCUUUCAUAUUUUUUUUUGUUUCCACAUUUUUCUUUGUUUUAAAAAUAUCUACAAAACUUUUUUUUCUUUUUAUUUUGUUUCAUAUUUUUGCCUCUUCAUUUUUUAUUUUUCUUGUUUUUUUAAUUUUUUUCACAAAAUUCUUUUUAUUUCUUGUUUCCAUAUUUUUUAUACUUCUUUGGAUUUUUUUUUCAUAAAUCUUUUCAUUUUUAUUCUUCUCUUAAUUCUUUACAAAUUUUUUUUUAUUUCUUAUUUUCAUUUUUAAAUUCUUAUAGUUUUUUGUUGUUGCAUUUUCUUCUUUUGUUUUCAUUUUUAAUUUGUAUUAACUUUUCUCAUUUUUAAUUUUUUGUCUUUGAUUUUUUAUAUUGUUUUUUUAUUAUUUUUUGUAUGUUUUUCAAUUUUUUGUUUUUUUUUUGUAUGUUUUUCAUUUCAUUUCAUUUUUCUCUUUUUUUUUUAUUUUUGAUUUUCUUACUUCUUAUAUUUUUUAUCGCAUUUUUAUUUAUUUUAUAUUAUAUAUAUUUUUUGUAUUUUAUUUAUCUUUUUUGUUUUGCUUUAAUAUUUUUUUCUUAUUUUAUUUUUAUUUUCAUAAAUUUUUAUCAUGUUUUUUAUUUUUUAUUUUUAUUUAUCGUUGUUGGUUAUUUUUUGUUUUAUUUUUAUAAUUUUUCAUUAACUCUUUUUCCCUUUUCAUUUUUUUACUUAUCUUUUCAUGUGCUUUCAUAUUUUUUUUUGCUUUCACAUUUUUCUUUGUUUUAAAAAUUUCUAGAAAACUUUUUCAUCUUUUUAUUUAAUUUCAUAUUUUUGUCUCUUCAUUUUUUAUUUUUUCUUGUUUUUCUAAUUUUUUUCACAAAAUUCUUUUUAUUUCUUGUUUCCAUUUUUUUUUAUACUUGGCUUUUUUUUUCAUAAAUCUUUUCAUUUUUAUUCUUUUCCUAAUUCUUUUACAAAUUUCUUUUUAUUUCUUAUUUUCAUUUUUAAAUUCUUAUAGUUUUUUGUUGUUGCAUUUUCUUCUUUUGUUUUCAUUUUUAAUUUGCAUUAACUUUUCUCAUUUUUAAUUUUUUGUCUUUGAUUUUUUAUAUUGUUUUUUUAUUAUUUUUUGUAUGUUUUUCAAUUUUUUGUUUUUUUUUUGUAUUUUUUCAUUUCAUUUCAUUUUUCUCUUUUUUUUUUUAUUUUUGAUUUUCUUACUUCUUAUAUUUUUUAUCGCAUUUUUGUUUAUUUUAUAUUUUAUAUUUUUUUGUAUUUUAUUUAUCUUUUUUGUUUUGCUUUAAUAUUUUUUUCUUAUUUUAUUUUUAUUUUCACAAAAUUCUUUUUAUUUCUUGUUUCCAUUUUUUUUUAUACUUCGAUUUUUUUUUCAUAAAUCUUUUCAUUUUUAUUCUUUUCCUAAUUCUUUUACAAAUUUCUUGUUAUUUCUUAUUUUCAUUUUUAAAUUCUUAUAGUUGGUUGGUGGCUGUAGGGUGGCUGGUCGGGAGGCUGGUCGGGAGCUGGCGACAGCGGUGCCAUACCAACUCCCUGAUUUCUGUCUUAUUCUGUUUCUUUUGUUUGUUUUUUUUUUGUUUUGUUUAUUAAUAAAUUUUUUAUUAAAAAUAUUAUUAUUAUUAUUAAAACAAUAGACCCGGACAAAAUCGAUGUCUACAAUACUAGUCAUUUUGAUAUGCACAAUGAUUUUAAGUUCGUUAUGAACUUUAUGAUUUUUUCAAAUAAUGUUAAUCAAUCUGUUUUUCAAUUUCAUUUGUAUAGGAAUACAAAAGAGAGUUUUAGAGUUCAAAUAAGAGGCUGUUGUUGAUUCAUUUGUUGUUGAUUCAUUUGUUGAUCUAAUUGAUAUGUAUGUGAUUAAAUUAGUAUUAUGUAUCAGAAUGCUAUGUAAGACAAUCCUUGUGCCCUGUCUCUUUGUUUUAUAUACCUGAUGGACCAAAUACAUAAUAUAUAGGAAAAUGUACCAUUAACGAAUUUUCAACUGUGGAUACAUGUCUAUCCUUACCAUACAGAAACAAAUGCUAUUAAUAAGCCAAUUAUGUUAUAUUAUAAAGCAGUUUUUUUUUUUUUUUUGUGGCUUUACACAUACCUUAGUUGCAAUAACUCCUCUUGCCCUGGUAGGAGGUCUGAAGUUCAAAUGCUCUCCCACAAAUUAUUAACUAUUAAAAGAAGAUGCAAAUAUUUGGAUCUGCUUAAAAAAUUUGUGUUCAAAUGAUGCUCAAGUCAAAUUUAAUUUAACAAGUAUUCUAGAUUAUAGUUUCUGAUUUUUAUAAGGUUAUAUACUUGUUUCAUACUUAGGAUGGUGUUUUACGUUGUACUUAUGGGAUUCUUAUUAUAUUAUGUCGAGACCUUGUGGUAUAUGCCAAACAGGAUAAAAAUUUUGCUUGGUAGUCUCAAUUUGCCUUCGUUAUAUCUUUUGUAAGUUCAUAUUCUCGUGAUGUUAUUACUGAAAGGAUUAAAUGUUCCUUGCAGGCAUAUUGAAAUUUGAGAUUGUGGCUUUUUAAAUGAUAGGAAGGCGGCGCCUGGGAUUUCUGUUGGGUUAAGGAUGGAGAAUUGCAUGUUACCGUACCAGAAUUUAUUUGUUGAUUAUAUAGUUUUUAUAUUGAUUUUAUUGAUUUGAUGGUGAAAUGGAAUGGGAUGAUAUAGUGACAGGCCAUGCAACAAUUAAGUAAUAGUUUUUGUGAUUGAUCCAUUGUCCCAUUUCUAUGUUGGUGUUUCUUUCUCUGAAACUCUUGGCUUGAAACUGGUGAUUACUUCAAUUUUGAACCUUUUCUUUCUGCAUUGUGAUAAUUAUUGGAUUUUGAAGUGCAAAUGCUAUCUAAAGUUGUUUGAUUCUCCUUUGAACUCACUGGCUGAAGAAGAGGAUGACACAUCAAAAACUCCUUCUCAGAAAAAGAAAAUGAAGAAGUAGAGGAAGGUGGAACGAGCUAAGAAAGUAUAUCAGCUUGUUUUGGUGAUUCUUGGCUAACACUCUCUUUGAUGAUUUCAUUCUGAUGCCGUGUAUUAUUUUAAGAGGCAGAGGAGAAAAAUGAAGAAUCAAGUUCUAGUGGCAUCUCUAAGUCUGGGAAACGACAUGUUAAACCUGUAGAUCCUUAUCCUUUUGGAGAAAAAUUAUUGAAGGUUACCUAUUAUUAUCUUUUCCCUGUGCUUUAGAUUCCUGAUUAAAGUCCUCGUGCUGUAAAAAUGUGUUACGCUAAUGCCUAUUAAGCUAAGACUGUUUAAUCUGUAUUUUUUUUUUUCAGACAGAGUAUCCCUUGUCAGAAGCAACGAAGUACUUGAAGUUGCUUCAGAAGAACUCACCUGAUUCUUUUAUAGACGCACUUACUUUCUUUUGAAGUAAAUAUGAGAAAGCAGAAGAUUUUGCUUGCCUUUCAGGUAUUAUAUUUUCCAAGAAUUGAACAUGAGAUGUGUUUCUUGUUCUUUUUGUGUUUGGUCAACUAGAACUGAUAUUUAAUUGUCAGCUAGUGGUUUGUGAGGAAGCCCCUUUUCUUGUUUUCUCCUCUCUUUUUUCACUUUCUGCCUGUGGAUAUGUUCUUGAAAUAAAGAAACUGUACCGUUUAACCAAACAUCCUUUUCUUAUUGCUCUACUCACUCAAUGAAUUUAUGUGUGAAUUAGAUAGUUUGCACGACAUAUCUUUGAGUUGUAGAACAAUGGUUUUGUGCAGUAGUACUUUUACUAUUUCAUGAGCUCAUAUUAGUACGUUUGUCUUGGUUUUAUUUUGUUUUCCUGAAGGCUGUAAAGCAACUGCUAAGGCUGGAUGCUGAGAAUCCAGAUUCACAUCGCUGCUUGGUAUGUAACAUCUGCCCUACCAUAUUUGUGCACUGCCAUGCACAACUGCAUUCUUUUCUAUUCUUAGAUACAAAGAUCAUGUAAUCUUUACAAUGCUUAUUUGAAUUUAAUCUAAUGCAGAUUAAAUUUUUCCAUAAAUUGGGCUCAAUGCCUGCUCCAUUAACUGAUGCUGAAAAACUUGUUUGGAGUGUCUUAGAAGCUGAGCGUCCAUCCAUCAGGUUCUCUUUGAAAUGGUUUUAUGAUAGCUAUUCCCCCUACUAGAAUUUUGUUGUGUUACUGUUACUAUUAUUAUUUUGAUCCCUGAUGCAUUAAAUCCCUUUAUUUUCUCUUUCCGCAGUCAAUUGCAGGAGAAAACUCUUAGUGAGGCGAACAAAGUUUUCCUUGGUAAACAUGAAGGAAGGUAUUACGACCUUUACAUAACAUGAUGCAUUUUAGGUUCCUUGAGGUAGGUUGUAUAAUCAUGCAAAUUUCACUUUUUGGUUCUGCAGAAUCUUUGAUGCAUAUAGUGGCAGUUGCAGAAAUGUUAUAUACCUUGGAGCAGACCAAGAAACUUGAGGCUGUUAAGUAGAGAAUUAGUUGGUGGAGGACAAAUUGGAAUGUGUGAGGAAUUUGGAGACCUUCUGAAGGUUUGAUUUCUACCAUCUUAAUUUUAUUUAAAUUUUUUUACUUCAAAUAAUGCCCGAUUUGAUUUUUUUCUAUUUUUUUCUGAUGAUAAAAUGUGUUCUCGUUAUAGACUGUAGAUAAUGAUAUUGCUAGUGUAAACUGUUUUAUUAUGUCUUAGCUGUUAGUCAUAUUAAUUUGAUUUUCUGUUUGGUAUUUUUUUUUAAUGAGCUCCAAAUGGUACCUUGGGAUGUUCUGUUCAUUAUAUUUACUCUGGAUUUCCUCUCUCUCUUAUUUAUAGAAUCACAUGAUGCAAAUCCAACGAAAACCUUACUUUUUUGUAGAGCUAUCAAGCUUUCUCCCCUUUUCUAGAGAGAGGAGGGGCGGCUAUUUUUACAAAUACUCUUGUAGGGAUCUUGUUUUUCUUGAUGGCUUGAUAAGAAAUUAUGUGACAAAAAUCUAGUGAUGUGGUUCUACAAUAGACACAGUCCAUUCGAUGGCUUGUGAUAUUCUUAAAUAAUCUAGAAAUAGAUAGUUGUGGUAUUAUGCUGAAAUACUUCAUUGAUGUCUUGAUGUGACAAUAGUAAGAACUCUAGGUGGUUAAAAUUAUGCUUUCAUAUGCUUCACCCCUAGAGAGUUGACAUGGUGGCUAAUUCUUUUAUUAGUGGCUAUCUUUAGCUCAUUCUUUUAGUUAAACUGACUUUCCUAUUUAAAAACCUUUUGACGAUGGGCCAGGUUAUGGCAUGAUUGAAAUAAAGUGUCAAACUCUAGAGCUUUUGGAAUUUGACUCAUGCAGUGAGGAUGUAUUUAAAUUGUUUUCUUCCUGUAACUCACAUUUGUAAUGUAUUCAUUCAUGAGAAUUGUAAUUAUUGCUGUUACAAUGUGCAUCAUUAUUGCCAAUAAAUGCUACUUCCUUUAUGAUGUGUGAUGAAUGUUCUAGGACUUAUAUUAAAACUUUGUUUUCUCAAUUUUUAGAGGAUACCACUUGAUUUACUGCAAGGAAACAAAUUUCGUAAAGCGGCAAUUGAUUGCAUUAAGCCUUUUCUAGCCUUUAUAUACAGGUGAGUGUUUUUUUUUUUUUUGUAUUAGUUUGAUUGGUGUUUUUUAGUUUGACUGGCUAUUGUUUCUUGAUCUUUUGGAGAAGUUCUUGGAAUUUUCUUGAAGCUGGGUCUAUGUGUAUAUUAUUUACUUCUCUUUGGUGACAGAGUCGGAUACUGAAACAUGUUGGUGAUUUGGUAGCUGUGGCUUCAUUGACAGAUGAAGCUAGGUGUAUGGAUCUUGCAGAUCGCUAUGUAAACAGUUAAUCUGUGAAGCGAAUGUUGCAGUCUGAUCAGGUUCUAAGGUUUCCCCGCUUCAUCUUUUGUCAUAGUUAAUAUUUGUCACUAAAUUUCUUUCGGUAUUAUUGUACUGUUCACAAGCUUUUUCUACUUUUGAAGGUGGCUUUGGCAGGAAAAACUGCUGUUUUGUUCACGAAAGAUGGGGGCCAGCACAACAACCUUCAUGACAUGCAGUGCAUGUGGUAUGUUUUUGUUUAUUACCUUCCACAUGUUGUUGUCUCUAAUUAUAAUUUGGGUACACCUACUGAGUGUUAUCCAUCUUUUGAAGGUAUGAACUUGCUUCUGAUGAAAGUUACUUUCGACAUGGUGAUUUUGGACGGGCCCUAGAGAAAUUUAUAGCUGUGGAGAAGCACUAUGCUGAUAUUACUGAAGAUCAAUUUGAUUUCCAUUCUUAUUGUUUGCGGAAAAUGGCACCACGUGCAUAUGUUGGAAAGCUAAAAUUUAAAGAUUGGUUGCAUUCACAUGCUUAUUUUCACAAAGUAGCAGCUGGAGCCAUUAGGUGAACAUUUUUGUUAGGAUCUGCAGCCUUUUCAAUGAUUUGCAAUAGACUUAUUCUGUUUGGUUGUGGCCUGUACGUGUAAAAUGCUAUGCAAGCUCUGUUGUCUACUUGUCUGGGUGCUUUUAGCGUCUGUCACCUAUUGUUGAUCAACACAUGCAUGUGAUGCUUCCUUUUGGGUUAGAUUCCUCUUUGCCUCCCUCCUUUUCUCUUUGUCUUUUGGGGAAUGUGGGAUUAUUGCAUACAUAUAUGUUGCAUUAAUCAUAUGUUGCAAUGAUGUGUUGUCUGAACCUUGCUUUCAAAGCAUGAAAAACUUCUUAAAGGUAACUGUUGUUCAUUACUUACCCUUGUACAACUAUUCAUUUGUUAAUAAUUAGACACUCCCAUUAUGAUAUCCAAUCUAAUUGAAGACUCUUCUAGCAGCCCCUCCAUUAAUAGGAGAGGGGAUAUCAUAUCAAGAUUUUUGAUUCCCCUCUCCUACUCUAACUUUUCCUUGAAUCCUAGACGUAAGGAUUUACAACAUUUUUGAAGACAAAACCUUGCUAAGUUUAUAAUCAAGAAAGUAUCAAGAGUCCUUUUCUUGCACUUGUUUUUGGUAGAGAAUUUUUUGAGUCAUAUGAGCAAAGCAGAAUAUAGGGUUCCAAGUUUUUUGUUGAUCAAGCAACAACCUGAUUUGAACCGGGGAAUAAGGGAUUUGCAAUCCCCCGCCUUACUGGUUAGCCAUGUCACCAAAGGUUAGAAACCAAAAAGAAUGAGUGUAUCCCCUUUAUAACUUUAGUUAUAGAUUGGAUCCAUACCUUCAAUUAGUUAUAGUAUCUCAAGUAAAAAAAUUAGUUUGUUCUUUUUUCUUUCAAUAAAAAAAAUUUCUUAAUUGAUUUAUAUUAUAAUGCAAUAAUAUAACAACAGUUAUGAGUCUAGGUAAACCCCAUAACGAAAGUUAUUGCAUGGCAACAAAAAGUUUCAACCCAACAAUGAAAAGCAGCUUGAGGUUUUUAUUCUUCAUCCCUAUGCCAUUAUUGAAAAAUUUUAUCUUUACGAGUACCCAUUUGCAUUUUCAUUGAUUUAUGAUUGGGUGAGUGUGUUUUUAUUUCAUUUUGUGUUCGUCAUCUAUUGUCUUGCUUAAAGUACUCCAGUUUAAGGGUACCCAUUUGCCUGUACUGUAGUUCAUGACAUUUGAAGAUUUUAUCUUGGUUAAUGAGGAUGUCAAAUAAUUUGAUAGAAUUUCAAGCUGUUGCUAUUGGAAAUUACCUUCUGCAGAUGUUUAGCUCAAGAAUCAGAUUGAUUUAGUUAGAUAUAUGAGGUUGAUUAGGAGAUACUGUCUGGUGUAAUAUAAAAGAUUUUGGUUGAGGGGCUCAAAUGAGCAAGUUCAAGUCCUGAAAGUAGCCUCAUUGUGUAAAAAAUGCUGAAUCCUAAAGGCUAGGAACAUUUUUCAAAUGACUCUUCUUGGUUUCUCAUCCUUCAUUGGUAGGAUUGAGGCUGAGUAAUGAUCCUCUUUAUGAGGGAAGAUUAUACAAAAGGCUGUUUAGAAAGCUUUCUCCAAAUUGCUAUAAAAACCAACCAUCAUAGCAAAACGGCAGUGUCUGUGUUUCUUCAUUUUUGGGUUCUUCCACACACUGAAAUAACCUUUGCAUAUCAACAGGAGCUGACCUCAACCUCUGGACCUUGUGAUCCUUUAUGUUGAGUUGAUGAAGCUAGCUCGUUAGAUUUCGAAGUUACUUACCAGCCAAAGACUAAUUUGUUGAAAACUAUUGGUGUUUUCACAGCAGCUUUA